CAGCAGCCGCGGUAAUACAGAGGGUGCGAGCGUUAUCCGGAAUUAUUGGGCGUAAAGAGCUCGUAGGCGGUUUGUCGCGUCUGCUGUGAAAACUGGAGGCUCAACCUCCAGCCUGCAGUGGGUACGGGCAAACUAGAGUGCGGUAGGGGAGAUUGGAAUUCCUGGUGUAGCGGUGGAAUGCGCAGAUAUCAGGAGGAACACCGAUGGCGAAGGCAGAUCUCUGGGCCGUAACUGACGCUGAGGAGCGAAAGCAUGGGGAGCGAACAGGAUUAGAUACCCCAGUAGUCCCUGUCUCUUAUAC
rnacentral:rRNA from 1 species